UUUCUUGCCUAAUCCGCCUAUAUACCGCCGUCGUCAGCUUACUCUGUGAGGAGUACGAAGUAAGCAUAAUCGGUACAACCAAAAACGCCAGGUCGAGGUGUAGCGUAUGGAAAGGGAAGAAAUGGGCUACAUUCAUUAGUUAUAGUGAACACGGAUGAUAUCCUGAAACAAAUAUCUGAAGGAGGAUUUAGCAGUAAGAAGGGAGCAGAGUGCUCUUCUGAAGCCGGCUCUGAAGCGCGUACACACCGCCCGUCACUCUCCCCGAGCUAAAAACUCUUUAUUACUAAUAAACCAGAACUGUAAAGGGGAGGCAAGUCGUAACAUGGUAAGCGUACCGGAAGGUGCGCUUGGAAAAACC
rnacentral:rRNA from 1 species